GGAACUCUAGUAUUAGUUUGCGUUAAAGGACAAGAACUAUCCACGAUUGGCCAACAUGGUAGAUGUGAGAAAGAGCUCAUCCAUCCCCAGACCUGCAGGAACAAUGAUGUACCGCAACGAAGUACUGUCACAUCAACAACAACAAGUUCCGAAAUAGAAGAAACACACAAUGCAUACAGCAGAGAACAUGAACUAACCAGGGAAUAUACAUUCACAACAA